AGUUACAACCCUACUGAUGUUGCAACGGACAACCUCUACAGUUACACCCGGAUACAUAUCAACAGAAAACCCCAUUGACAUUGAUGAAGCUGAGGAGGAAAUAUCAAGUAAGCCUAACCAGAAUUCACUUGAAUCUUUAGACUCUAGUUAUUAGUACUAAUGGAUUGGUCCACCGCCUGAGAUAGUUUCCAGUGUCUAUCUUGUGUGUGUACUUUUAAGUACGGAGUCUUUAUAUGUGUGUAAAUAUACAGUAGAUAAUACAAUUAUAACUCAUAUU